rnacentral:rRNA from 1 species
GCGCGAAACCUUUACAAUGCACGCAAGUGUGAUAAGGGAACUCCAAGUGCUAUACUCACGUAUAGCUUUUGUCAAGAGUAAAUACCUUGGCGAAUAAGUGGUGGGCAAGACCGGUGCCAGCAGCCGCGGUAACACCGGCGCCACAAGUGGGAACCAGUUUUAUUGGGCCUAAAGCGUUCGUAGCCGGCUAUGUAAAUCCUUUGUGAAAGCGUCUCGCUUAACUUGACGGAUUGCAGGGGACACUGCAUAGCUAGGGAUCGGGAGGGGUUAGGAGUAUUUUGUGGGGAGCGGUAAAAUGCAAUAAUCCACAAAAGACUACCUGUGGCGAAGGCGCCUAACCAGUACGAGUCCGACGGUGAGGGACGAAGGCUAGGGGAGCGAUCCGG